GAAGCAACAGGCACAGUGGGAAAGGGCUGCGGAUGACCUGUGUGAUAUUGUUCCUCCUGGCAUUGACUUUCCUCAUGGGAUUAGUUGGAAAGGAAGACACUGAUGAUGCGGACAUCUUUCUUCCAUCCAAAGCGUUGUGGUUGUUUGGAUGUCUGCUGUUGUGGACUGUUUGGUUGCUCCUGCACCUUCUCCAGAUGUUCCUGUGGUUGAUCAAAAGCCUACUGGGGUUUAUCUCCAUCUCUGUGUCCCCGCUGUGUCACUGUUUGAUGCUCCUUCUGUCCUGUCUUCUACUGCUGCUGCAUUACAUGUGCGAUACUGUGUUUUUUGCAACCACCAGUCCUGUGUUUGUUUAUAGCAUGCUUCUCA